UACAGAGGUCCCAAGCGUUGUUCGGAUUCAUUGGGCGUAAAGGGUGCGUAGGCGGCGCGGUAAGUCGGGUGUGAAAUCUCGGAGCUUAACUCCGAAACUGCAUUCGAUACUGCCGUGCUUGAGGACUGGAGAGGAGACUGGAAUUUACGGUGUAGCGGUGAAAUGCGUAGAUAUCGUAAGGAAGACCAGUGGCGAAGGCGGGUCUCUGGACAGUUCCUGACGCUGAGCACGAAGGCCAGGGGGAGCAAACGGG
rnacentral:rRNA from 1 species